rnacentral:rRNA from 1 species
CCCUUAGAUGUCCUGGGCCGCACGCGCGCUACACUGAGUGUCUGAGAUACGAGUCUGCCUGGUCCGGCAAGGUCUAGGUAAUCGCUAAAAGACACAUCAUGCUUGGGAUAGAUUAUUGCAAAUAUUAAUCUUGAACGAGGAAUUCCUAGUAAGCGCAAGUAAACAGCUUGCGUUGAUUACGUCCCUGCCCUUUGUACACACCGCCCGUCGCUACUACUGAUUGGAUGUUUAAGCGAGGUUCUCGAACUGCUAGCGACUUAGCUUCGGUGAGGUCGCAGUGUGGGAAGUGAACCUAGCUUUGGUGUCUAGAGGAAGUAAAAGUCGUAACA